CAUUCAGUGCAUUUGUACAAUCGUUUGACGGUAUGAACAUUGAGCUGGCGUUCCUUUUGAUUGUUGCGAAUUCCAUUGUCACAUACAUCACUAACGAACGACUUUUUUUCGGUAUCGACGGACAUAUUUGGUAUAUAUUUUGAUCUGGAAUAUCGUUUGUUGUGGUGGAAGAUGCUACUGAGCUACUUGGCUGUUUUUCUUCUAUAGUCCUUCGAUGACAUCCCGUACCUAGUUGGGACUCAUUUAUCUGAGAAAAAAUCACACGCUCUGAAAAUAAGAACUCAGGUGCCAUUAUCUCUAUUAACGACAGGAAAAAAACAGACUCACCUUGCCGUAAUGUUAUUCCAGGUCAGACUACUUGACAACCACACAAACUCACAUCGCAUAAACAGGUGCUCCCUGGAAUCUGGUUGCGGAAGUACCGGAAACAGUGGUCAAAAACCUCCGAUACGGGACUUACUUUUCUUCGAAAUGGCUUAACUUAGAUUCAAAUGAGUCUUACGAUUCUUUACAAAACUCCUGAAUUUGGUCCGGAUCUGACUUCCGGUUCAUGUAAGUUGCUGGCCAUACGAACCGACUUCGACUAUACCGGUC